AAUGAGAUAGCUGGGUCAAAUGGUGGUUCUAUUCCAAGUUUUCUGAGGAAUCUCCAUACUGCUUUCCAGAGUGAUUGCAUCUAUUUGCAUUCCCACCAGCAAU
rnacentral:pre_miRNA from 1 species